GACGAACGCUGGCGGCGUGCUUAACACAUGCAAGUCGAACGGAAAGGCCCUGCUUUUGUGGGGUGCUCGAGUGGCGAACGGGUGAGUAACACGUGAGUAACCUGCCCUUGACUUUGGGAUAACUUCAGGAAACUGGGGCUAAUACCGGAUAGGAGCUCCUGCUGCAUGGUGGGGGUUGGAAAGUUUCGGCGGUUGGGGAUGGACUCGCGGCUUAUCAGCUUGUUGGUGGGGUAGUGGCUUACCAAGGCUUUGACGGGUAGCCGGCCUGAGAGGGUGACCGGGCGCAGUGAUGGAGCGGUGGGGCCCAGGGUGCGGGGGGUGGGAGGAGGGGGGAAUCGGGCGCGAGGGGCGGGAGCCCGCAGGCGGAAGGCCGGGGGGGGGAUGACGGCCUGGGGGUUGGAGGCCGGGGUCGGGGGUGAGGAGGAGGGGGGGAUGGGGAGAAGAAAAGGGGCGCCGGCUAACUAGGUGCCAGCGGAGGGGGUAAGAAGCGGAAGAUCAGACGUCACACC
rnacentral:rRNA from 1 species